rnacentral:rRNA from 1 species
AACGAACGCUGGCGGCAUGCCUAACACAUGCAAGUCGAACGAGACCUUCGGGUCUAGUGGCGCACGGGUGCGUAACGCGUGGGAACCUGCCCUUAGGUUCGGAAUAACUCCCCGAAAGGGGUGCUCAUAACGGAUAAUGUCUUAGGACCAAAGAUGUAUCGCCUUUGGAUGGGCCCGGGUUGGUUUAGCGAGUUGGUAGGGUAAAAGCCUGCCAAGGCGACGAUCCAGAGCUGGUCGGGGAGGAGGACCAGCCACGCUGGGGCUGAGGCACGGCCCAGUCUCCUACGGGAGGCAGCAGUGGGGUGUAUUGGACGAUGAGCCAAAGCCUGGUCCAGCAAUGCCGCGUGUGUGAUGAAGGCCUUAGUGUUGUAAAUCUCUUUUACCCGGGAUGAGAAUGACAGUACCGGGUGAAGAAGCUCCGGCUAACUCCGUG